CCUACGGGAGGCAGCAGUGGGGAAUAUUGCGCAAUGGGCGAAAGCCUGACGCAGCGACGCCGCGUGAGGGAUGAAGGUCUUCGGAUCGUAAACCUCUGUCAGCAGGGAAGAACGGUCACUGUGCUAAUCAGCAGUGAAUUGACGGUACCUGCAAAGGAAGCACCGGCUAACUCCGUGCCAGCAGCCGCGGUAAUACGGAGGGUGCGAGCGUUAAUCGGAAUUACUGGGCGUAAAGCGCUCGUAGGCGGUAUGUCAAGUCAAGGGGGAAAUCCCCGCGCUCAACGUGGGAACUGCCUUUGAAACUGGCAAACUGGAGUGUGUGAGAGGAUAGUGGAAUUCCAGGGGUAGGAGUGAAAUCCGUAGAUAUCUGGAGGAACAUCAGUGGCGAAGGCGACUAUCUGGCACAUAACUGACGCUGAGGAGCGAAAGCGUGGGUAGCAAACAGGAUUAGAUACCCCAGUAGUC
rnacentral:rRNA from 1 species